CCUACGGGAGGCAGCAGUGAGGAAUAUUGGACAAUGGGCGCAAGCCUGAUCCAGCCAUGCCGCGUGCAGGAAGACGCAUCUAUGGUGUGUAAACUGCUUUUGUACGGGAAGAAACACUCCCUCGUGAGGGAGCUUGACGGUACCGUAAGAAUAAGGAUCGGCUAACUCCGUGCCAGCAGCCGCGGUAAUACGGAGGAUCCAAGCGUUAUCCGGAAUCAUUGGGUUUAAAGGGUCCGUAGGCGGUUUAAUAAGUCAGUGGUGAAAGCCCAUCGCUCAACGAUGGAACGGCCAUUGAUACUGUUAGACUUGAAUUACUAGGAAGUAACUAGAAUAUGUAGUGUAGCGGUGAAAUGCUUAGAUAUUACAUGGAAUACCAAUUGCGAAGGCAGGUUACUACUAGUGGAUUGACGCUGAUGGACGAAAGCGUGGGGAGCGAACAGGAUUAGAUACCCUGGUAGUCCACGCCGUAAACGAUAGGAUACUAGCUGUUGGGCGCAAGUUCAGUGGACUAAGCGAAAGUGAGUAAGUACUCCCGACCGUCGGGAGGUACGGUUCGGUCGAAGAAGUUAGUAACGUUACGUUAAGUAGUUAAGUUAGUUACGGCGUUGAGACGNGACGACGGACGACGACGAGGGAGGAGG
rnacentral:rRNA from 1 species